CCCGCUCGGGUCCCUCGGGUCAGCCCUCUCCUCCCAUCCCCUCCCCUCCCCCGCCUGCGGGAGGCUCGCAGAGGGCUGUGUGCAUGUGUGAGCCUGCACAGCCUCAGCCAGCCCCUUUUGUUCCGUCCUGACCUCUACCUUGCACUGACCCCGGCUGGGGGUGCGGAGCGUCUGCAGACACGGCCGGCGCGGGGAGGGGCUCAAGGUGCACGGCUCGAGGUGGCUCCUCCGUACUCUGCAUCGCCCGCCAGUCCUGCGCCUCCGGUCCCUCCCUCCCUCCCUCUCUCUCUCUCUCUCCUCUCAAGAUCUCCCUUCCAGCUAAGUCUGCGCGGCUGCGGGAGGGCUGGGGGAAGGGCCGGUGCGGAGGGGGGUGCGCGGUGUCUUCUUUCUCUUCGCCUGCCCCCCACCCCCCAAGUGCGGACGCAUCGGGAGCUCCGGCCUCCCCCACCCCUGCAUUCGCGGUCGGCUCCGGGAGGAGGUGGAUGGUGCGGCCGCGGCUGCAGCAUCUCCCUGGGAGCCACGCGGGCGCAUCGUACCAGGAGCCACGACCCUGCGCCCGCGGCCGCUGCCGCCAGCCCGGCCGGAGGGGCUCCGCGGCUCUGCAGAGACACGGCCCGGGCCGGGGGCCGGCAGCGUCCAGACGCCCCUCUCUGGGCCCAUUUGCACAGGACAGGAGGGCUGCCCGGCGUGCAGGGGCGCCCCGGGCCUCAUCUUGCUGAUAGAACUGAGGUGCCUGGCAGCCAGUGGCGCCCUCCUCGGUGUGCUCUGCAGGCCUCACCCACCCUGGCGAUGGCAAGACCUCCCUUCAUGGGUGCCUGACGUCCCUGGGCCCAGGCAGGGGGUGGCGCCCCUUCCCAUGGCGGGGACCUGACCCGGAGGUCACACCACUCUCUGUCAGACUCUGCAGUUCUGACUCCUGGCUUUGGGGCAGCCACAGAAGGUGAUGGGGCUGAGGGGCUCUUCUCCAUGGCGGGGACAUUCUGAAAUGCAGUGAAAACAAUACCGAUACAAUUAAGUGUUCCAAAGUGCUUAGCUUGCCACUUGCUAAGUUUACUUAAACCCUCUUUAACGGGUUCAUUAGAAGCUGGUGAGCACCGGGAAAUUCAUUAACAGGAAGGCGGCCCCUGCGUUUGACUGUAAAUUGGUAUUGAUCUGGCCGGGCUCAGGCCACAGGAGCCAGGCACCCCUGGGCCACAUCGCCGAACUGGUGGCAGCGCUUGGUGGCCCUGGGCCCCCAUGUGAGCUUCCUGCUGGUGCCAGCAUCUUUUCAGGGGCCGUGGCAGAGGGGUGAGAUGCCAGGAGGGGCGAGGGAGAGAGAAGUGAAGAAGGGGGGUAGGGAGCUGAAGAGGGGAGCGGGGGCCGUCUCUAGUCCCCCACAGGGCCAGGCGGGUGCAGAGGGGCUGGCUGAGGCGAGGGCCGCCUCCCAGCAGCUCCCAGAGGCUGCCCUUGCCGCGCAUGUCUUCAAAGACAGAGGCACCGUCCGAGCCCUGCCCUUGAGGGCUCUGCUUCCUGGGAGGCAGAACCACCAGGGACCAGCCCAGCCAGCUGCCAGCCAGCUGCCCAGGUGGAGGGAGCGUGACGGGGACGCCGGAGGGGACCCAGAGCCCAGUGCCUCCUUAUCUCAGAACUCGUCGCUGCUAAUUUGCUCCCGAGCGGCUGCCCUCCCCUGACCUCAGGGCCCUCCGAGCUGGUUCUCCGCCAAGCGGCUUUCGCUCCUGAAAUUAUGCCAGCUUUUACCCCGGCCCUACCUGUGAGAUGGUGAGACACAAAAACCCAUCUUACCGUUUUUUCUUGCAAAGAACCGCAAAACAAUGGUGCCUCCCCCUCCUGCCCCGCCUCCCCCACGGCCUGUCCCCAAGCUCUUUGGGUCUAUUUGAGGCAGAAUUUAUCUCUGGGAGGGGCCCCAUCAGUUCAGCCUGCUCUUCUGUUGACAUGUUUAUUAAAAACCUGGGCGACUCCUAUUAAACUUUUAUCAGUGUUGAGAAAUAAUACAUAUUUUUUGA